UACCGAGGGGGCAAGCGUUAUUCGGAAUUAUUGGGCGUAAAGGGCGCGUAGGCGGCUUUGCAAGUGACGGGUGAAAUCCCUCGGCUUAACCGAGGAACUGCCUGUCAGACUGCAUGGCUUGAGACCAGGAGAGGUGAGUGGAAUUCCCAGUGUAGCGGUGAAAUGCGUAGAUAUUGGGAGGAACACCAGUGGCGAAGGCGGCUCACUGGACUGGUACUGACGCUGAUGCGCGAAAGCGUGGGGAGCAAACAGG
rnacentral:rRNA from 1 species